GAAGAAGAACGAGAAGAAGAAGAAGAAGAAGGAGGAGGAGGAGGAGGAGGAGAAGAAGAAGGAGAAGAUGAUUACAAUACUUAUCUUAUUUUGAGCUUAUUAUGUCAUUUUGGAGGACGAUACGCUAAGUUAUGAGGUAACAAGGUUCUUGUGCUGUUUUCGACUAAGUAAGCCAAUUAUAUCAUAAAUGAACUAAAUAAGCUAAUUAUGUAAUUUU
rnacentral:lncRNA from 1 species